CUGAGGUCAGCCUCGGGGGCUCCCCUGAGUAGGUAUCUACCUGAGGCUCUUCCCCUGAUGCUACCUGCAUACCAAUUCCACCCAGGAACCUGGCGUCCUCAGGAGGCUGCACUUCCCAAGUGGGCUGAGACAGCCCCUUAAUAUGUGGGGCUGGAGCCAGAGACCUCAAGGGGCCACUAGGGGGCUCGAGACUCUCAGUGGCUGCUGACGCCCUCUUGUGGCCAUUUUGGGGAUUGGCCAGAAAAGUUUCAGAAGCGAGCCAAGAUCGGAAUUCUUAAGGAGGAGAGAAAAGUGAGGAGCAGUGAUUACCGCCACAGAAAUAUCCUUUCAUGGCGUGUCCUCCGGCAUGGUCUACUCAGUGUGGUGGAGCCACUGCAGGUCCCUCCUCCAGGGAUGUAGGAAUGCCAGUGAAGGCCUUCCUGAGUUGG
rnacentral:lncRNA from 1 species